rnacentral:rRNA from 1 species
CACGUAGUUAGCCGGUGCUUCUUUACCUAUUACCGUCACUCACGCUUCGUCACAGGCGAAAGCGGUUUACAACCCGAAGGCCGUCAUCCCGCACGCGGCGUUGCUGCAUCAGGCUUCCGCCCAUUGUGCAAUAUUCCCCACUGCUGCCUCCCGUAGGAGUCUGGGCCGUAUCUCAGUCCCAAUGUGGCCGGUCACCCUCUCAGGCCGGCUACCCGUCAAAGCCUUGGUAAGCCACUACCCCCACCAACAAGCUGAUAAGCCGCGAGUCCAUCCCCAACCGCCGAAACUUUCCAACCCCCACCAUGCAGCAGGAGCUCCUAUCCGGUAUUAGCCCCAGUUUCCUGAAGUUAUCCCAAAGUCAAGGGCAGGUUACUCACGUGUUACUCACCCGUUGCCACUCGAGCACCCCACAAAAGCAGGGCCUUUCCGUCGACUUGCAUGUGUUAAGCACGCCGCCAGCGUCGUCCUCGAGCCAGGAUCGAAACUCU